GGUCACUUAGCUCAGCUGGUUAGAGCGCUGCGUUCACAUCGCAGAGGCCGUAGGUUCAAAUCCUACAGUGACCA
rnacentral:tRNA from 1 species